rnacentral:rRNA from 1 species
UGGGGAAUUUUGGACAAUGGGCGAAAGCCUGAUCCAGCAAUGCCGCGUGUGUGAAGAAGGCCUUCGGGUUGUAAAGCACUUUUGUCCGGAAAGAAAUCCUUGGCUCUAAUACAGUCGGGGGAUGACGGUACCGGAAGAAUAAGCACCGGCUAACUACGUGCCAGCAGCCGCGGUAAUACGUAGGGUGCAAGCGUUAAUCGGAAUUACUGGGCGUAAAGCGUGCGCAGGCGGUUUGCUAAGACCGAUGUGAAAUCCCCGGGCUCAACCUGGGAACUGCAUUGGUGACUGGCAGGCUAGAGUAUGGCAGAGGGGGGUAGAAUUCCACGUGUAGCAGUGAAAUGCGUAGAGAUGUGGAGGAAUACCGAUGGCGAAGGCAGCCCCCUGGGCCAAUACUGACGCUCAUGCACGAAAGCGUGGGGAGCAAACAGGAUUAGAUACCCUGGUAGUCCACGCCCUAAACGAUGUCAACUAGUUGUUGGGGAUUCAUUUCCUUAGUAACGUAGCUAACGCGUGAAGUUGACCGCCUGGGGAGUACGGCCGCAAGAUUAAAACUUAAA